rnacentral:rRNA from 1 species
GAUCAUGGCUCAGGAUGAACGCUGGCGGCGUGCCUAACACAUGCAAGUCGAACGAUUAAGACGCCUUCGGGCGUGAAUAGAGUGGCGAACGGGUGAGUAACACGUGACCAACCUGCCCCCUACCCCGGGAUAACGCAAGGAAACCUGCGCUAAUACCGGAUACUCCUUCCCCUGCUCCUGCAGGGUCGGGAAAGCCCAGACGGUAGGGGAUGGGGUCGCGGCCCAUUAGGUAGACGGCGAGGUAAUAGCUCACCGUG